UCCAUGUGUGUCUAAAACAUUAUUUAUGG
rnacentral:sRNA from 1 species